rnacentral:rRNA from 1 species
UGGGGAAUAUUGCACAAUGGGCGAAAGCCUGAUGCAGCAACGCCGCGUGAGCGAAGAAGGCCUUUGGGUCGUAAAGCUCUGUCCUUGGGGAAGAUAAUGACGGUACCCAUGGAGGAAGCCCCGGGUAACUACGUGCCAGCAGCCGCGGUAAUACGUAGGGGGCGAGCGUUAUCCGGAAUUAUUGGGCGUAAAGAGUGCGUAGGUGGUUCUUUAAGCGUGAGGUGAAAGGCAAUAGCGCAACUAUUGUAAGCCUUGCGAACUGGGGGACUUGAGUGCAGCAGAGGAAAGCGGAAUUCCUAGUGUAGCGGUGAAAUGCGUAGAUAUGAGGAGGAACACCAGUGGCGAAGGCGGCUUUCUGGAAUGUAACUGACACUGAGGCACGAAAGCGUGGGGAGCAAACA